GAUGAACGCUGGCGGCGUGCCUAAUACAUGCAAGUCGAGCGAACAGACGAGGCUCUCUCUCCUCUGACGUUAGCGGCGGACGGGUGAGGAACACGUGGAUAACCUAUCGAUAAGGCUAACAUAACUUCGGGGAACCUGAUCUAAUAUCGGACAAUAUAUUGAACCGCAUGGUUCAAUAGUGAAAGACGGUUUUGCUGUCACUUAUAGAUGGAUCCGCGCCGCAUUAGCUAGUUGGUAAGGUAACGGCUUACCAAGGCAACGAUGCGUAACCGACCUGAGAGGGUGAUCGGCCACACUGGAACUGAGACACGGUCCAGACUCCUACGGGAGGCAGCAGUAGGGAAUAUUCCGCAAUGGGCGAAAGCUUGACGGAGCCACGCCGCGUGAGUGAUGAAGGUCUUCGGAUCGUAAAGCUCUGUUAGUAGGGAGGAACGACAGUGUGAGUAAAUAUGCACGUCUUGACGGUACCUAAACAGAAAGCAACGGCUAACUACGUG
rnacentral:rRNA from 1 species